UACGUAGGGGGCAAGCGUUGUCCGGAAUCAUUGGGCGUAAAGAGCGUGUAGGCGGCCCGAUAAGUCCGCUGUGAAAGUCCAGGGCUCAACCCUGGAAUGCCGGUGGAUACUGUCGGGCUCGAAUCCGGAAGAGGUGAGUGGAAUUCCUGGUGUAGCGGUGAAAUGCGCAGAUAUCAGGAGGAACACCAAUGGCGAAGGCAGCUCACUGGGACGGUAUUGACGCUGAGACGCGAAAGCGUGGGGAGCAAACAGG
rnacentral:rRNA from 4 species